UAUACAGCAAGAUGGAAGUAGAAAGGCACUGCUGAAGGACAAAAUUUAACUUACUGCACCACAAAGGUUGUGGCCUUAUUCCAUUAAGGACUCCAGUCUGCAAAGAAAAGAAACACAUUCACACAGUAUGGACAAAGAUUUGUGGAUAGUUGAAAAAUAAUCUUGAAGAAAGAGAUGAAAGGAGCCCGUAGUAAAUGGAUAACAUCAUUUUCUUUCCAAUCGCCAAAAUCAAUCAUGGCAGGAUUACAAAUGGAGAGAUCCCAGAACGACACAUCUACAGUUCCUGAAAGAGGCCAUCUGACAGAUGUAAUCCCAACUCACUCCAAGACAAGAACAUGGGAUCUGAAACCUUUUUACUGCUUUCUGACAACUGCACGAGCCUCUCUCUAAUAUACCCAGCCUGCUUCUGGGCUGAAUUGACUGGCAGUUGAUUUUAAUGAGCUUCAGGAGGAUCACGGAUGUUCUCAUGUUGGUUUUUAUGCUACACAGCAGAUUUAGAUUUUUUUGUAUAAAUAUUUUUUACAUGAUUUUAUAAAUUGUAAAAUUAGUUUACAUGGGACAAAAUUGAAAAAAAUGUUGCUAUGCAAAACAUUUAUAAUUCUGUGUGGAUAUAAUAUGCUCAAGAUAAUGAUAAAGUGGUUGUAAUGCAUCUCAUAAGCAGCAGGCAAGUGGCCUCUAGGGAGGCUGCGGGACAAUGUAGUAGUGUGUGGAGAGAAUUUAUAUAAGGCAAAUAAAGACCACUGAAAGAAUAAGAGAGAUGCUAGUGAAGGAAUUCAAAUGAUUUAAUAUGUUCCAGUUAUGUUUACAGAUAUAUUUUUUAAUUUCUGUUUUGACCUAUUCUGUGUUAAAACAUUUGAUAUCUGCAGCACAAAUGGCAUGUAUUCCAAUAAGUUAUGUAUAA